rnacentral:rRNA from 1 species
AUUGAACGCUGGCGGCAUGCUUUACACAUGCAAGUCGAACGGUAACAGGUUAAGCUGACGAGUGGCGAACGGGUGAGUAAUGCAUCGGAACGUGCCCGGUCGUGGGGGAUAACGCAGCGAAAGCUGCGCUAAUACCGCAUACGAUCUGAGGAUGAAAGCGGGGGACCGUAAGGCCUCGCGCGAUCGGAGCGGCCGAUGUCAGAUUAGGUAGUUGGUGGGGUAAAGGCUCACCAAGCCGACGAUCUGUAGCUGGUCUGAGAGGACGACCAGCCACACUGGGACUGAGACACGGCCCAGACUCCUACGGGAGGCAGCAGUGGGGAAUUUUGGACAAUGGGCGCAAGCCUGAUCCAGCAAUGCCGCGUGCAGGAAGAAGGCCUUCGGGUUGUAAACUGCUUUUGUACGGAGCGAAAAGGCUCUCUCUAAUACAGGGGGCUCAUGACGGUACCGUAAGAAUAAGCACCGGCUAACUACGUGCCAGCCGCCGCAGUAAUAC